UACAGAGGGCCCAAGCGUUGUUCGGAUUCAUUGGGCGUAAAGGGUGCGUAGGUGGCGCUGUAAGUCGGGUGUGAAAUUUCGGAGCUUAACUCCGAAACUGCAUUCGAUACUGCGGUGCUCGAGGACUGGAGAGGAGACUGGAAUUCAUGGUGUAGCAGUGAAAUGCGUAGAUAUCAGGAGGAAUACCGAUGGCGAAGGCAGGUCUCUGGGCUGACACUGACGCUCAUGCACGAAAGCGUGGGGAGCAAACAGG
rnacentral:rRNA from 1 species